rnacentral:sRNA from 1 species
GCCGGGCACGGUGGCGCAUGCCUAUAAUCCAAGCGACUUGGGAGGCUGAGGCAGAAGGAUCACUAGUUCAAAGCCAGCCUCAGCAAAUGGCAAGGCACUAAGCAACUCAGUGAGGCCCUGUCUCUA